rnacentral:rRNA from 1 species
UACAGAGGUGGCAAACGUUGUCCGGAUUUAUUGGGUGUAAAGGGCAUGUAGGUGGUCUAGUAAGUCAAAGGUGAAAUGGCCCGGCUCAACCGAGUCAUUGCCUUUGAAACUGCUGGACUUGAGUACGGAAGAGGAGAGUGGAAUUCCCAGUGUAGCGGUGAAAUGCGUAGAUAUUGGGAGGAACACCGGUGGCGAAGGCGGCUCUCUGGUCCGAAACUGACACUGAGAUGCGAAAGCCAGGGGAG